GCUUUCAAUCUCCUUGCUACUUUUACAAGGAUCGACAAUGUAGAUAAGUAGUAAAUGAGAAGGUUGGUCAACGUGGUCUUUAUUAAUGUUAACCUACCUCUCUUUGAUAGAAAAUUCCUCUUUCAUUCUGCUAAUUUUCUCUUAAACAACUCAAUCACUUGUUCUUACGUUUUAUAUCUUUAUAUUUAUCCCUCAAUAGAUUAGGGACAAUCUUGCCUAGUUUUCAACCU
rnacentral:lncRNA from 1 species